AUGUUUUUUCAAGAGAAUAUUUUGAUUUCCAAAUCUGUACAGAAGCAUAAUCUCACACAGUCGUUAAAAUGGCAAUUCAGCAGAAGAGCUCCAAUCAGCCAUGGAUUCUCGAGGCGUCGACCUUCGUGGCGCUUUUAUUGAUAGCAGUUCACGUCCUCGCAUUGGUCUUUGGGAUUUAUAAAUUAGCUACAGCGAAACAGCCUCAAGGGAAAACCGAGCAAUUGAAGAAAAGUAAUUAGUGAUUCCAAGUAUGCAGUGAGUAUUAUUAAUUGAUCGCAGGUGUUGAAGAAAUUUAUUUCCUUCUUUUUGGCAUAAUUUGAAUGUUUCUAAUUUUUGAUUGACACCAAAAAUUGCAUUUUGU